UACGUAGGGUGCAAGCGUUGUCCGGAUUUAUUGGGCGUAAAGAGCGUGUAGGCGGCCAAGCAGGUCCGCUGUGAAAACUCGAGGCUCAACCUCGAGACGUCGGUGGAAACCGUUUGGCUAGAGUCCGGAAGAGGAGAGUGGAAUUCCCGGUGUAGCGGUGAAAUGCGCAGAUAUCGGGAAGAACACCCGUGGCGAAGGCGGCUCUCUGGGACGGUACUGACGCUGAGGUGCGAAAGCGUGGGGAGCAAACAGG
rnacentral:rRNA from 1 species